ACUUUAAGGUGGAAAGUCAACUCGAGGUGAUGGGGAGCAGUUGCUCGCCUUGGAUAAAGAUAAAAAGAACGCCAUUAUAGCCAUCCAUGGAGGCGGCAUCAGAGGCUACAAUGAAGAAGUGGCCGGGAGUGUCCAGCGGCCAACUUGGGGCAGCCAUCAACCAAAAGCUGACAGAGCUCCGAAGAGCACACAAAAAAUAAUAAUAUUUGGCUAUCUUUUUAUUUUUCAUUGUAUUUGAUUUUUGUUUCUGUUUAUCGCCACUUGAAAG